UUCCAUAUCCUCUCUUUCUCUCUUGCUUUGCCUUCUUUUCUUCAAAUAUGUCAAAACCAAUCAUCGCUAGUUGAUUUGUAGUCAGACCUGCAAUGCCUUUUUUGCCUAUCGAUGACCGGAGGAGAUUCCUUAAUUAAUAGGGGUGUUGGUGUGUUUGAUGGUGUGGACGGCAUAAUCGACGAAAGAUUUGAUCUGGAAUAACG
rnacentral:lncRNA from 1 species